rnacentral:rRNA from 1 species
UUGAGGGUCCUAAAGGGCCGUUGGAGACCACAACGUUGAUAGGUGGGGUGUGUAAGCGUAGCGAUACGUUGAGCUAACCCAUACUAAUUACCCGUGAGGCUUAACCAUACAACACCCAAGAAGUGUUC